GGAGGCAGCAGUGAGGAAUAUUGGUCAAUGGGCGAAAGCCUGAACCAGCCAUGCCGCGUGAAGGAUGACGGCCCUAUGGGUUGUAAACUUCUUUUAUACGCGGAAGAAACCCCUCUACGUGUAUGGGGCUGACGGUACCGUACGAAUAAGCAUCGGCUAACUCCGUGCCAGCAGCCGCGGUAAUACGGAGGAUGCAAGCGUUAUCCGGAUUUAUUGGGUUUAAAGGGUGCGUAGGCGGAAAAUUAAGUCAGUGGUGAAAUCCUGCAGCUUAACUGUAGAAUUGUCAUUGAUACUGGUUUUCUUGAAUACAGUUGAGGUAGGCGGAAUGAGUAAUGUAGCGGUGAAAUGCUUAGAUAUUACUCAGAACACCAAUUGCGAAGGCAGCUUACUAAACUGUGAUUGACGCUGAGGCACGAAAGCGUGGGGAGCGAACAGGAUUAGAUACCCUGGUAGUCCACGCCGUAAACGAUGAUCACUCGUUGUUGGCAAUACACCGUCAGCGACUGAGCGAAAGUAUUAAGUGAUCCACCUGGGGAGUACGAUUGCAAGAUUGAAACUCAAAGGAAUUGAUGGGGGCCCGCACAAGCGGAGGAACAUGUGGUUUAAUUCGAUGAUACGCGAGGAACCUUACCUGGGCUUAAAUGCAUAACGACGGAUCGGGAAACUGGUCUUUCUUCGGACGGAAUGCAAGGUGCUGCAUGGCUGUCGUCAGCUCGUGCCGUGAGGUGUCGGGUUAAGUCCCAUAACGAGCGCAACCCUCAUCAUUAGUUGCCAGCGGGUAAUGCCGGGGACUCUAAUGAAACUGCCGGUGUAAACCGAGAGGAAGGCGAGGAUGACGUCAAGUCAGCACGGCCCUUAUGUCCAGGGCUACACACGUGUUACAAUGGUCAGUACAAAGGGCAGCUACCAGGCAACUGGAUGCUAAUCUCAAAAGCUGGUCACAGUUCGGAUCGGAGUCUGCAACUCGACUUCGUGAAGUUGGAUUCGCUAGUAAUCGCGCAUCAGCCAUGGCGCGGUGAUACGUUCCCGGGCCUUGUACACACCGCCCGUCAAGCCAUGGAGCCGGGGGUACCUGAAGUUCGUAAC
rnacentral:rRNA from 1 species